UACGUAGGGUGCGAGCGUUGUCCGGAAUUAUUGGGCGUAAAGAGCUCGUAGGCGGUCUGUCGCGUCUGCUGUGAAAACCCGAGGCUCAACCUCGGGCCUGCAGUGGGUACGGGCAGACUAGAGUGCGGUAAGGGAGAAUGGAAUUCCUGGUGUAGCGGUGAAAUGCGCAGAUAUCAGGAGGAACACCGGUGGCGAAGGCGGUUCUCUGGGCAUUACCUGACGCUGAGGAGCGAAAGUGUGGGGAGCGAACAGG
rnacentral:rRNA from 1 species